rnacentral:sRNA from 1 species
GCGUCUUGCCCUUCCUGGGCGUUUCCUCCCUAUAGACUUUCAAACCGCGCCCCCGGGCGCGGUUUUUUUUGCCUGAA